rnacentral:piRNA from 1 species
UGGGCCUCUGAGAGAACACUGUC